rnacentral:lncRNA from 1 species
UUUCACAUAUAAUUCAUAGUUGUCAUUAAAAACCAAACAGCCGUCCCUCGUGAGAUUAGCUCGAUUGGUAGGGCAUUACAUAAUAUAUGCAGUAGUCGAGGUUCAAACCCUAGACACCCACCUCAAAAAAUAUGAAUUUCUAGCCACUAAACUACUUGACAAAAAAAAAAACAGCCAAUUCAAUCUAAAUCUCAAUUAAUUUGAUUAGAUCAUAUUGUAUUUUAUUUAGGAGGCACAUCCAAAUCAAAUUGAACUGCAUACAAUUCUAAAUUUUAAAUCAUACGACUAUUUGCCUCAAAGCUGAUCCAAACUAAACUACAGGCUCCCAUAGUUCUAGGGAUUAUGGUAUGGAACUUCUAGCAUCUCCAUCGAAAUACAUUUAGAGCGUCUCCAAUGGAGAGUCCUAAUAAGUUCCUUAAAAUUAGCAACAUCCCUUAAUUGUUUUUCAAUGGAGCUUGAUGAUGGGGCAAGUUUGAUUUCUUAAUUUUAUGAAACAUCAAUGAUAGUUUACAUAACCCCUCAAAAAAAUAAUGAUAGUUUACAUAACCCCUCAAAAAAAUAAUGAUAGUUUACACAAAAAAGGAGUUCCUUAACUUAAAAUAAUUUUAUUUCAUACUAGUUAUACAUAAUCUACUGAAGUUGAUAGCUUGUUUGGAACCACGGCACAUUUCGCCUAAACUCGCGUCCCCCAAGAAGCUACAUAUUGUUGUUUCUGAAUUUUUCACGUUCAUAGUGCCUCGAGACGCGAAAAUCAAGAGGUAAACGUGCAUCCAAACACAUGCUAAAUCAAUUGAGUGGCUUGGCUCGAGUUGAUGGAUCUUCCUUCGACUCCACGCGGAUCAUAAACACGUAUCCUAAAAUCCACAGGAGAAUGUACUGAAAAGGAACCCAUGAAAUGCAUGCAACAAGACUCAUGAUGCUGCCGACAUACUGUGGAUCACUAAUGACCCCGAAAGGGAAUUCAGUUACCCAGGGAAUAGUUUUUCCAAAGCGUACACCAUAGUACGUGCCGGGUUCACCAAGCAGCUGAUAAACCCUGUCAUUUGACAAUAUGAUCAUUAUGAUUAGACAAAAUAUCAAAGCAAUACAGUUAAAAAUUAAGGCUCAACGAGAAUAUUCAGGCACAUCGAAACACUUUUGAAGAUACAAUAAUGGAGGAUGCUAUAUUUUCAUCAAAAAAUACAUCAAACACAUAAUUUCAUCAACGCACAUCACAGUUUCAUCAAAAUGAUGGUAUUCAUCUUGGUGAUUCUUCAUUUAUUAUUCUGGGAAAAUUAAUAAUCAAAACAUUACAUCAUUUAUUUGGAUACAUAAUUUGCAGAAUGAACUGCAUGUAGCAGCCUCUUGCUGGAAUACUUCCCAAACUAAAACAUACUAAUAUUCUGUUUUUAACUUUUGUAAAAUUACAUAUAAAAGUUAUGUUUUCUAGAGUGCUUUCUUGGUAAGAUUGUUUGGUAGUAAUAUACAAAGGAAAGGGGUAAGAGUAUUUUGGUCCUUAAAUUUGUCGGGCGCUACAUAUUUUGGCCCGACACAUAAUUUUGAAUGUAUCUUCUGUUAGUUGGCUUGGUCCAUCAUAUUACUAAUAGAAGAUAAACUCAAAAAUGUUUUUGUAAUUUCAAUAUAUAGGUACUACAGUAACACCGCCUGAUACACGUAAGAACGAAAAUGAGUGUUCACUCAAAAAAAGAAAGUAAAAACGUUCCUUC